rnacentral:rRNA from 1 species
UGCAGUCGAGCGAAUGGAUUGAGAGCUUGCUCUCAAGAAGUUAGCGGCGGACGGGUGAGUAACACGUGGGUAACCUGCCCAUAAGACUGGGAUAACUCCGGGAAACCGGGGCUAAUACCGGAUAACAUUUUGAACUGCAUGGUUCGAAAUUGAAAGGCGGCUUCGGCUGUCACUUAUGGAUGGACCCGCGUCGCAUUAGCUAGUUGGUGAGGUAACGGCUCACCAAGGCAACGAUGCGUAGCCGACCUGAGAGGGUGAUCGGCCACACUGGGACUGAGACACGGCCCAGACUCAUACGGGAGGCAGCAGUAGGGAAUCUUCCGCAAUGGACGAAAGUCUGACGGAGCAACGCCGCGUGAGUGAUGAAGGCUUUCGGGUCGUAAAACUCUGUUGUUAGGGAAGAACAAGUGCUAGUUGAAUAAGCUGGCACCUUGACGGUACCUAACCAGAAAGCCACGGCUAACUACGUGCCAGCAGCCGCGGUAAUACGUAGGUGGCAAGCGUUAUCCGGAAUUAUUGGGCGUAAAGCGCGCGCAGGUGGUUUCUUAAGUCUGAUGUGAAAGCCCACGGCUCAACCGUGGAGGGUCAUUGGAAACUGGGAGACUUGAGUGCAGAAGAGGAAAGUGGAAUUCCAUGUGUAGCGGUGAAAU